rnacentral:rRNA from 1 species
AUUGAACGCUGGCGGCAGGCCUAACACAUGCAAGUCUAGCGAGCGGCGGACGGGUGAGUACUGUAUGGGGACUGCCCGAUAGCGUGGGAUCACUACUGGAAACGGUAGCUAAUACCGCAUACUAUCGGAUAACCCAUAUGGGAUUGGCUAGUAGGUGAGUUAAUGGCUAACCUAGGCGACGAUCCCUAGCUGGUCUGAGAGGAUGAUCAGCCACACUGGGAAUGAGACACGGCCCAGACGCCUACGGAGGCAGCAGUGGGGAAUAGUGCACAAUGGGCGCAAGCCUGAGGCAGCCAUGCCGCGUGUAUGAAGAAGGCCCUAGGGUGGUAAAGUACUUUCAGUCGGGAGGCGUUACCGACAGAAGAAGCACCGGCUAACUCCGUGCCAGCCGCCGCGGUAAUAC